UAGGGAAUAUUGGGCAAUGGGCGAGAGCCUGACCCAGCCAUGCCGCGUGCCGGAUGAAGGCCUUCUGGGUUGUAAACGGCUUUUCUCAGGGAAGAAAAAGGUCUUGCGAGACAAACUGACGGUACCUGAGGAAUAAGCACCGGCUAACUCCGUGCCAGCAGCCGCGGUAAUACGGAGGGUGCAAGCGUUGUCCGGAUUUAUUGGGUUUAAAGGGUGCGUAGGUGGCCCGUUAAGUCCGGGGUGAAAGCCCACAGCUCAACUGUGGAACUGCCCUGGAUACUGGCGGGCUUGAGAGUAGUCGAGGGUGGCGGAAUGGACGGUGUAGCGGUGAAAUGCAUAGAUACCGUCCAGAACCCCAAUUGCGUAGGCAGCUGCCUAGGCUACAUCUGACACUGAGGCACGAAAGCGUGGGGAGCGAACAGG
rnacentral:rRNA from 1 species